AAUGCAGGCUUGGUGAGCAGAAGAGACUUCUUUAAAAAACAUUUAAAAUCUUACUGUUCAAACUUGACUGGGAGUGAUAUAUUCCACAACAUCAGAUCAACAAAUACUGAAUUAUUAAAUCUUAACUUUAGUAUUUUACACUUAUGAAAUCAAGGCACGGUGAUGUGAUGUCAGCUCUUGACUGAAAUAAAACAAGGCGAUGUUUGUAACUAAAGGCACAGCAGGUUCAGUCACAUGUGGGUCGUUCACACCGGACGGUUGCGUUAUUGUUUGUGUAUUACUGCUUCUGUUCUGUUGCACUGAUCUCAGUCCAGGUGUUUAAAAGCAGGAACACGUCCUGUGUGAACGGACCAUUUGGUAACACAAAUAUAACGUUUUUUGUUUGACCUUUUAAGAGGUUAUAAGUUCUGAACAUAGUGUCUGAUUGUUAAAGGUGCUGCAAGUGAUUUCAGGAGUUUUUCAGCUUCAAUCGCACACUCCCCUGACUCCGCCCACUAACACACACACACCUUCUGUGCUAAACCCCGCCCACUAAGACACACACACCCUCUAUGAGAAACUCCACCCACUGAGACACACCCUCUGUGUCAAACUCCGCCCACAGACACAAGCCCCCUAUUAAACACACACACACACACACCUUUUAUGCCAAACUCCACCUUCUAAGACAGACACACCAUCUUUAUCAAACCCCACCCACCAAACCGAUGUCUGCAAAUCUGAACAUGCAUAAUGACUGACAGGGUUUCCGAUUGGCUAAAAAAACAGGCCACUCCCCUUCACU